rnacentral:rRNA from 1 species
AUUGAACGCUGGCGGCAGGCCUAACACAUGCAAGUCGAGCGGAUGAAGGGAGCUUGCUCCUGGAUUCAGCGGCGGACGGGUGAGUAAUGCCUAGGAAUCUGCCUGGUAGUGGGGGAUAACGUCCGGAAACGGGCGCUAAUACCGCAUACGUCCUGAGGGAGAAAGUGGGGGAUCUUCGGACCUCACGCUAUCAGAUGAGCCUAGGUCGGAUUAGCUAGUUGGUGGGGUAAAGGCCUACCAAGGCGACGAUCCGUAACUGGUCUGAGAGGAUGAUCAGUCAACCGGAAAGUGGGACACGGCCCAGCCCCCUAGGGGGGGCAGCGGGGGGAAAUUUGGGAAAGGGGGCGAAGGCCUAAUCCAGCCAGGCCGGGGGUGUAAAAAAGGUUUUGGGUUUGAAAAGCCUUUAAGGUGGGGGGAAGGGGAGGAAAGUUAAAACCUUGUUUUUUUACGGUUCCAAAAAAAAAAACACCGGGCAACCUUGG